CCUACGGGGUGCAGCAGUGGGGAAUAUUGGGCAAUGGGCGCAAGCCUGAUCCAGCAACGCCGCGUGAAGGAAGAAGGCUUUCGGGUUGUAAACUUCUUUUAAGAGGGAAGAGAAGAAGACGGUACCACUUGAAUAAGCCACGGCUAACUAUGUGCCAGCAGCCGCGGUAAUACGUAGGUUGCAAGCGUUGUCCGGAUUUACUGGGUGUAAAGGGCGUGCAGCCGGGAAGACAAGUCAGAUGUGAAAUCCCGGGGCUCAACCGCGGAACUGCAUUUGAAACUGUUUAGCUUGAGUACCGGAGAGGUGAUCGGAAUUCCUUGUGUAGCGGUGAAAUGCGGAGAUAUAAGGAAGAACACCAGUGGCGAAGGCGGAUGACUGGACGGCAACUGACGGUGAGGCGCGAAAGCGUGGGGAGCAAACAGGAUUAGAUACCCUGGUAGUC
rnacentral:rRNA from 1 species